CUUGUACUCCCUCCGUCCGAAAAUACUUGUCAUUGAAAUGGAUGUAUCUAGAUGUAUUUUAGUUCUAGACACAUCCAUNCCAUUUUGAUGACAAGUAAUUCCGGACGGAGGGAGUACUUG
rnacentral:pre_miRNA from 1 species